AUACAAGUGAGACAGUAACUCUUUCAAUGAGUUGGAACCAUGCUGCAGGGUCGAAGCAUUGCUAUUAUUUCCUUUUUUCUGGUGCCAGUUACAUCGUUUUCUCUGGAACAGGAUAAAAUAACCGUUACAAAAGGCUCUGGCAAAACUGCUCGCAUCAACUGCAAAUACAAAGACUCGGGCUUUGACUCUGCCGUUAUCCACUGGUACCAGAAAAAAGAAAACGAAGCGAUGAGACGGAUUCUUUAUAUCCAAAGCAUUGGUGGGACACCAACUUAUGACAAUGAUGAAGACAAAAAAGUAUUCAGAGUAAGCAAAAGCAGCAACUCUGAGAGUGAGCUUACUAUAGUUAAUGCACAGAGCAGCCAUUCUGCCACCUAUUACUGUGCCUGCUGGGAUACCCACAGUGAAAAAUGUGCCAUAGAUCGUCUGUACAAAAACUCCAGCCUGACUCUUAGAGGCAGUAUAUUAAAUCAAUUCCAGAAACAUCAAUAGUUGUUUUCCAGGAAAUGGCACCACAUGUACUGUAUGUGACACUACUUUUGCAGUUGAAAACAGCCAAUGCAAUCUACAUAUCUUUCCAU